UACGUAGGGUGCAAGCGUUGUCCGGAAUUAUUGGGCGUAAAGAGCUCGUAGGCGGUCUGUCGCGUCGGCUGUGAAAACUCGGGGCUCAACCCCGAGCCUGCAGUCGAUACGGGCAGACUAGAGUGCUGUAGGGGAGACAGGAAUUCCUGGUGUAGCGGUGAAAUGCGCAGAUAUCAGGAGGAACACCGGUGGCGAAGGCGGGUCUCUGGGCCGUAACUGACGCUGAGGAGCGAAAGCAUGGGGAGCGAACAGG
rnacentral:rRNA from 1 species